rnacentral:rRNA from 1 species
GACGAACGCUGGCGGCGUGCUUAACACAUGCAAGUCGAACGAAGUGGCGAACGGGUGAGUAAUACGUGGGUAACAUGCCCUCAUUUUUGGGAUAAGCCUUGGAAACGGGGUCUAAUACCGAAAAUAGGGGGAUUGGCUCGCGGCCUAUCAGCUGGUUGGUGGGGUGAGGGCUUACCGAGGCGGUGCCGGGUUGCCGGCCUGAGAGGGUGAACGGCCACAUUGAGACGGAGAUACGGCCCAGGCUACUACGGGGGGGAGAAGUGGGGGAUAUUGCACAAUGGGCGAAGGCCUGAUGCAGCGACGACGCGUGGGGGAUGAAGGCUUUCAGGUUGUAAACCUCUGUCGCUAUGGAACGGGUAGGUGGAGAAGAAGCGCCGGCUAACUACGUGCCAGCAGCCGCGGUAAUUC